UACGGAGGGAGCUAGCGUUGUUCGGAAUUACUGGGCGUAAAGCGCACGUAGGCGGCUUUGUAAGUUAGAGGUGAAAGCCCGGGGCUCAACUCCGGAACUGCCUUUAAGACUGCAUCGCUUGAAUCCGGGAGAGGUGAGUGGAAUUCCGAGUGUAGAGGUGAAAUUCGUAGAUAUUCGGAAGAACACCAGUGGCGAAGGCGGCUCACUGGCCCGGUACUGACGCUGAGGCGCGAAAGCGUGGGGAGCAAACAGG
rnacentral:rRNA from 1 species